rnacentral:rRNA from 1 species
UACGGAGGGUGCGAGCGUUGUCCGGAAUCACUGGGCGUAAAGGGCGCGUAGGCGGUCCGGUAAGCGUGUGGUGAAAGCCCGGGGCUCAACCCCGGGUCUGCCGUGCGAACUGCCGGACUCGAGCACUGUAGAGGCAGGUGGAAUUCCGAGUGUAGCGGUGGAAUGCGUAGAGAUCCGGAAGAACACCGGAGGCGAAGGCGGCUGGCUGGGCCUGAUCUGACGCUGAGGUGCGAAAGCGUGGGGAGCGAACAGG